AAUUGUCGUCCUCACGGGGUUAAGGUUGGAAUUUCAUUUUUUUGAUUCUUUAGAAGUUGAUACACGUUUGACUCACUGUACUUUGUCCUUGCUCUACCCUUUGGACUACUUUUGAAAGACACUUGUGCUUUUUAUCUUGUCCUUUGAUCUCCAUCUCUUGUUGAUCUUAUCUUUUUACUGAAUAAUAAGUACUUUGGAAAACAAUGAGUCAGUAAAGCGCCACAAUGUUCCAUUUUUCUCAUCAGUUGCAGCUACUUUCAUAUCCAGCCAAGAUCAUGUUCGAAAUAUUCGCAUUUGAAAGGUUUCAAUAUGUUGAAGAGUUGCAAAAGAAUUUUGAAGACAUUAUUCUAUAGCAGUGGUUAUAUUAGUUCAAACAAUAUAUGUUCAUUAUUUAAGUUGUGGCAUUAAUAUUUAGUACUUCCCUUUGUUUAUUUAGAUAUAAUGGAAUAUAUUUCGUUUUAUGAAUCAAUAGUAAUAUGUUUUUUAGCCUUU